rnacentral:rRNA from 1 species
CCUACGGGAGGCAGCAGUGAGGAAUAUUGGUCAAUGGACGCAAGUCUGAACCAGCCAUGCCGCGUGCAGGAAGACUGCUCUAUGAGUUGUAAACUGCUUUUGUACGAGGGUAAACGCAGAUACGCGUAUCUGUCUGAAAGUAUCUUACGAAUAAGGAUCGGCUAACUCCGUGCCAGCAGCCGCGGUAAUACGGAGGAUUCAAGCGUUAUCCGGAUUUAUUGGGUUUAAAGGGUGCGUAGGCGGUCGGUUAAGUUAGAGGUGAAAUCCCGAGGCUCAACUGCGGAAUUGCCACUGAUACUGUUAGGCUAGAGAGUAGUUGAGGUAGGCGGAAUGCAUGGUGUAGCGGUGAAAUGCUUAGAGAUCAUGAAGAACACCGAUUGCGAAGGCAGCUUACCAAGCUACUUCUGACGUUGAGGCACGAAAGCGUGGGGAGCAAACAGGAUUAGAUACCCCUGUAGUC